rnacentral:rRNA from 1 species
CUAGACUCCUACGGGAGGCAGCAGUGGGGGAUAUUGCACAAUGGGGGGAACCCUGAUGCAGCGACGCCGCGUGGGUGAAGGAGCGUUUCGGCGCGUAAAGCCCUAUCGGCAGGGAAGAAAUUGGACGGUACCUGACUAAGAAGCCCCGGCUAACUACGUGCCCGCAGCCGCGGUAAUACGUAGGGGGCAAGCGUUAUCCGGAUUCACUGGGUGUAAAGGGAGCGUAGACGGCCAUGCAAGCCUGGAGUGAAAGCCCGGGGCCCAACCCCGGGACUGCUCUGGGAACUGUGCGGCUGGAGUGCGGGAGGGGCAGGCGGAAUUCCUGGUGUAGCGGUGAAAUGCGUAGAUAUCAGGAGGAACACCGGCGGCGAAGGCGGCCUGCUGGACCGCGACUGACGUUGAGGCUCGAAAGCGUGGGGAGCAAACAGGAUUAGAUACCCGUGUA